UACGUAGGGGGCAAGCGUUGUCCGGAUUUAUUGGGCGUAAAGCGCGUGUAGGCGGCGGCGUAGUCGGAUGUGAAAUCCCUCAGCUCAACUGAGGAAGUGCAUUCGAUACUGCGUCGCUUGAAUGUCGGAGGGGAUGGCGGAAUUCCCGGUGUAGAGGUGAAAUUCGUAGAUAUCGGGAGGAACACCUGUGGCGAAGGCGGCCAUCUGGACGACAAUUGACGCUGAGACGCGAAAGCGUGGGUAGCAAACAGG
rnacentral:rRNA from 1 species